rnacentral:rRNA from 1 species
AUACGGGGGGAGCAAGCGUUGUCCGGAAUCAUUGGGCGUAAAGGGCAUGUAGGUUGUAAUUUAAGUCAGUUUUUAAAUGUCACGGCUUAACCGUGGACUGGAAUUGAAACUGGAUUACUUGAGUAUGAGAGGGGACAGAGGAAUACCUAGUGUAGCGGUGGAAUGCGUAGAUAUUAGGUAGAACACCCGAGGCGAAGGCGUCUGUCUGGCUCAUCACUGACACUGAAAUGCGAAAGCAUGGGUAGCGAACAGGAUUAGAAACCCUUGUAGUCC